rnacentral:lncRNA from 1 species
UAAUAUUUAUUUUUAAGAGAAGUAGUGACAUAAGUGAGGAUGCAAGAGAAGUUGUAGAGAUAGCUAAGAAUUCUGGAAACUAGUAAGGUAUUUAUGAAGGAUAAUUUCAACCAUUGAUCAAGAGUUAUGGUAGCAAAAUCCUAGCCAUCCAUUAGCCUUAAGGAAUCUUAUAAAUACCCCCUAACCCCCUUUCAUUUUCAAUACAACUUAGGAAUUAAAACAUUUGUUUAGGAGAGAAUCAAAGCAAUUGAUAAGUUUACUCUCUUUAUUCUCCAUGAGAUUUCUAAUCACUCUAUUUAGGGUUUAUAUUAGCAUGAUUUUAGAUUGAUAUAGAUUAUAAUACGUGAUUUAAGGUGUGUUUAGGGUUUUGAUUUAUUGUGGGUUUUAAUAAUCAACCCUUGGUGUAUUAAGCACACUGGACAAAUUCUGGACAAUAUGAGUAUCUCGAAUUUAAACAUAUAUGUUCUGAAUGAUUUUACUUAAGAACUUUAUAUUUCUGAAAACUAGACAUGUAGUACUUAUUGAUUAAAUUUUGUUUCAUAAGAUUUGACUUUGUUUUCAAUUUUAUAUGGAUUUGUGAAUCGGACACUAAUACACUGGAAAACUGUGAUUCCAGCAAGGCAAUCAGAUUCAUAAACUUAUUUGUACUAUUAAAUGAACUCGAAACAUUCUUAAAUGUUAUAUAGGAGUUCAUACAUGUGUCUAGUUUUCCCGGUUUUAAUUUCAUAAUUUUCUGAUCAGUAUCUGAUUUUAUAAAAUUCUUAGAAUAAGUUCGGCUCGGUUAAGAUACUGUGAAACAGUUUUGAAUUUGUCAAGCAAUAAAUAGUUUUGAAAAUGUUUUUAGUAUCGGAUCCUCUUGGAAAUUUGAUAUGAGGUACGCAUGGAUGUCCAGAAUGGUUCUAUAGAAUAUUAUGUCAUUUUGAUUUUCAGAUUAAGAGUUAAAAUUUUAAGAAUCUGACUAACACGGGUAUGAAUUAGCAAAUCAGAUUCUUAGGAGAAGCUAUUAAUAGUUAUAUCUUAUAUUUGUUAAGGUAUUGGAGGUGAUGGAGACUUUUAGAAACUUAGAGGUGUGUUAGUUCAAAUCCCUUUAUCGAGAUAAGUAACUUUAUUCCUAAUCUACUAGAUAUGUAUAAGUAUUUUGAUAUUAUUAUAAGUAUAAAUGUUUUUAUACUACUUAAAAGAUUAAUGGAUUUUCAUAACAAAAUCAGUUUACAAAAAUGUUUUCAAAACUAAAUCCUUUUAACCAAAUAUUUCAUAAAUGCUUUUCAAUAUGUAAAUUAUUUUACGACAUGACUAUCUUUUAUAAUUUUGUCUAUAAAAUAUUAUGCAAGCCUAAAUUAUUGUUAUAGACUUUUAUGAAUCUGAUACGAAUGUUUUGUACCCAUGUCUGAUUUCAAUUAUUGAUGAUUGUAUAGGAUUCCUAAUGUUUUGACUCAUUGUCCAUAGUUAUUCUGAUUUUGAUUCUGAUUCUGAUUGUAAUAUACGAUAUAUCUAUCUGGACCAGUACUGAGUUUUUGUUCUGAGUGUGCACACGAUAUUCUGAUUCUGUUUCUGGCCGGGUCAUCGGAACUAUAGGUGACACCAUGUGACAUGAGCUAACUAUCUGUUUUCUGUGAAUGUGAUAUCUAAUUUACUUUCAUAAGUAACUAUGCUUUUGAUAUUCUGAGAUACAAUGAAUUUAUGUUAUUUUGUUGUGAUAUAUCGUAAAAGAAGGCUUGCAAUAUUUUUGGUAUCAGUUGGGCUAGUGUGUUAGAAGUGGUUUUACUUACAGAGUUGACGACUCACCCCUCGUCGUUGCUUUUUGCAGAUUAAGUUCCGUUUGAAAGGUAUGCCUAGCUUUGGAGUUAGUGAUUUCAUUUCCGUUUGCUAUUUGAAUAAGAAGAGGAAUGAACUCAUGUUUCUAUUUAGUUUAUUUCUGUUAUGAACUUGUAAUUUGAAGUUUGAGACUUUUAUUAUUUUUGGACAGACUAUUUAAUGUAAAAUGUGUGAAUUUGUAGAUUUAGUUAAAUAAGAAUUUGAGGUAUUUUAAUUUGAACUUUAUGAGUAAGGAUUACGAUUUGUAAGUAACCUCAUUCUCCAAGUGUUUCACACGUGUUAGAUUUGGGGCGUUACAUAAAUAUUUAAUAAAAAUUGUUUAUGAAAUAGUACUAUCGAAGAUAUAUUCUCUAUUUUUAACUUUUUCAAUCGUGUCUACCGAACACAUAUUAUUGUUUUUAAUUUUAAAAUAUAUGAUACGUAAAAUGAUACAAGACACAUUUAAAUUCAAAAUGCAACAACUACAAAAUAUCAUUUUCAAUCUCUUCUUUUUUUUAUAGAAAAUACUAAUUCAGAAAUAAUACUGAACAAAAACUUAUUUUUGGUAUGAAUAAUGUUGUGCUAGUUUUAUAAGCUUAGAUGCACCCUCAAAUUUAUUAGAAGCAUCAACUCAACCCCCUAUUUAAGGUUAGAUUUACGUAUUGAAUGAUAUCUAACCUAAUGUUGACGCUUAAAAGUAACUAUAAUAUUCUAUAUUGUAAUCUCAUUAUAUUAACUAAUAAAAUUUAAAAAUGUAAAAAGAUUGAUAAUAUCAAAAUAAUUAAAGUUGAAAUCCAAGAAAUUACACAAAAAAGGGUACCUAAAUCAAAACUAAAAACCAAAAUGCAUAAAAUUUCUUUAAUUGAGGUGGUGACAAUGAGUAGUCCUCAUAAAAUGAGUGUAGAAAUUGAGUGGUUUUAGUACAUUAUAUGAUUAAGGAACAACUUCUAUCCUUUUACCAAGUUAUUAGUACUAUGUUUACUUGUUAGAGUAGGAAUGAGAAGUGUUAAUUCCUCCUACUCCAGUACUUAUUUGUAUAUUUUAAAGGGAUGUAAGAAUUUCACUCUGUGACUCCCACUUAUUUUUGAAGUAGGGAGUGAGAUUCCCAAUCCAAUGGGAGAAGAUCCACUCCCACCUUUUCCUUUUUUUACUUUU